UACAGAGGUUGCAAGCGUUAAUCGGAGUUACUGGGCGUAAAGCGCGCGUAGGCGGUUUUAUUAGUCGGAUGUGAAAUCCCCGGGCUCAACCUGGGAAUUGCAUUCGAUACUGUAAAGCUAGAGUGUGGUAGAGGAUGGCGGAAUUCCCGGUGUAGCGGUGAAAUGCGUAGAUAUCGGGAGGAACAUCAGUGGCGAAGGCGGCCAUCUGGACCAACACUGACGCUGAGGCGCGAAAGCGUGGGGAGCAAACAGG
rnacentral:rRNA from 1 species